CGGGGUGUGGCGCAGCCCGGUAGCGCGCACCGUUCGGGACGGUGAGGUCGCUGGUUCAAAUCCAGUCACCCCGACCA
rnacentral:tRNA from 1 species